rnacentral:lncRNA from 1 species
CAUUUUUAAUAUAUUGAACAACUUAGAUGGAAAGAAUGAUUAUAUAACUGUUCAUUUCCUGUUUUCCCUGGCUUUCAGGUUACUUUUAUAAUGAUUAACACCUUUUAAUCAAGAAAUCCAUAAUUUGGACAUUGCACAGCAGAAACUUUCAUACGGGCUUACCACCUGGCAGUCAUUUAAAUGUGCUUCGUUAGAUUCAAACUAUGGAAACACACAGAAAAAGCUAUUGCACAAGGAGUCACACCAGAUGUCCUGUCCAAGGACUAACAGCGUCUAUUCCUGUAGGGCUCCAUCCAUAUGUGAGGAAGCGGAAGAGAGCAUUUCAGAGCUGGUUGGUCAACUGUAAGUUAUGCUCAGUGCAGUGCGUCGGGAAUACAGAAACAUUUUCCAGAUGGCAUCGUAAAGUCAGUUCAUUUUUGCAAAGCACCAUCUCAUUUUUGAGAAAUAGCCCCUUGUUUUCCAUUCCCCUUGGUCGUUCCAGAAUAGCUUUUCCUUGCCAUAAAUGCAACACUUAAACUAGAGGGUCGGGUAGGAUUUCUG